ACUCAAAGGAAUAGACGGGGGCCCGCACAAGCGGUGGAGCAUGUGGUUUAAUUCGAUGCUACGCGAAAAACCUUACCUAGGUUUGACAUCCCGCGCUAACCCAUGAAAGUGGGCGUUCUCUUCGGAGACGCGGAGACAGGUGCUGCAUGGCUGUCGUCAGCUCGUGUUGUGAGAUGUUGGGUUAAGUCCCGCAACGAGCGCAACCCUCGUCACUAGUUACCAGCAUUUAGUUGGGGACUCUAGUGAGACCGCUGGCCUAUAAGGCAGAGGAAGGUGGGGAUGACGUCAAGUCCUCAUGGCCUUUAUAUCUAGGGCAACACACGUGCUACAAUGGGAGGUACAGAACGCAGCUAGCUCGCAAGAGUAUGCUAAUCGUAAAAAACCUCCCUCAGUUCGGAUUGGAGUCUGCAACUCGACUCCAUGAAGCUGGAAUCGCUAGUAAUCGGGGAUCAGCACGCCCCGGUGAAUACGUUCCCGGGCCUUGUACACACCGCCCGU
rnacentral:rRNA from 1 species